CUCAUUAUAUAAAGUGGGUAUAUAGUAACAACAACUUACAUUUAAUAAGGCUAUUUUACGAAAAUUUAAAUACAACUAAAUUUUUCAAUUCAAUUGAAAAAUGUACUAGAAUUUGGGACAGACGCAACAGCAAAAUUGGACUAUCAAAGUACGAUGGAGGGAGUAGUACGGAUACCUCUCCUCUGCUUUUCCUUCUUCCAAGUUAUUAUCCCGCUCGCAUGCGCGGUUUACAUUUAUUAUUUGUUCAAACUUCAGUUCGUUCUUUACGCAUAAUUUUUUGCCCAGGGCCUUGGCAGCAUUUUCCCCUUGCUAACGGGUAGAUUUGCAAAUGUAUAAAUGAGCAAUGGUUCUGAGUAGCAAUUACACUGCCCCGGCCCACCAAACUGCGUUGGAAAACGCAAACGGCUGUACGAACCCCUGCUUUUAACUUGCACCAGCGGACAACAUGUUAACGUUGCAUCUCCACGCGCGAUUCCAAGGCUAAACGUCUCCGUUUGCAAUCCAUCCACAUGCAACACGUGUCCGCCUCUGGAGGCCUUCCUACCAUAGGCACGGUCAACCCGUUCCCACCAUAAAGGUAUCCU
rnacentral:lncRNA from 1 species